UACAGAGGGGGCAAGCGUUAUUCGGAAUUAUUGGGCGUAAAGGGUGCGUAGGUGGCGUCGUAAGUCGGGUGUGAAAUUUCGGAGCUUAACUCCGAAACUGCAUUCGAUACUGCGGUGCUUGAGGACUGGAGAGGAGACUGGAAUUUACGGUGUAGCGGUGAAAUGCGUAGAUAUCGUAAGGAAGACCAGUGGCGAAGGCGGGUCUCUGGACAGUUCCUGACGCUGAGGCACGAAGGUCAGGGGAGCAAACGGG
rnacentral:rRNA from 1 species